AGGACGAACGCUGGCGGCGUGCUUAACACAUGCAAGUCGAGCGGAAAGGCCCUUCGGGGUACUCGAGCGGCGAACGGGUGAGUAACACGUGAGUAAUCUGCCCCUAGCUCUGGGAUAGCUCCGGGAAACCGGGAUUAAUACCGGAUACGACCACUUUAGACAUCUGUUGUGGUGGAAAGAAUUUUGGCUAGGGAUGAGCUCGCGGCCUAUCAGCUUGUUGGUGGGUAAUGGCCUACCAAGGCGACGACGGGUAGCCGGCCUGAGAGGGCGACCGGCCACACUGGGACUGAGACACGGCCCAGACUCCUACGGGAGGCAGCAGUGGGGAAUAUUGCGCAAUGGGCGAAAGCCUGACGCAGCGACGCCGCGUGGGGGAUGAAGGCCUUCGGUUGUAACCCCUUCAGCAGGGACGAAGCGAAAGUGACGGUACCUGCAGAAGAAGCGCCGGCUAACUACGUGCCAGCAGCCGC
rnacentral:rRNA from 1 species